GGCACAGUGGUUUAGUGGUUAGCACGUGUGCUUCGCACCUCUGAUAUUGGGGGUUCGAAUCCUGUUUCUGCCC